rnacentral:rRNA from 1 species
GUGAGGAAUUUUCCGCAAUGGGCGAAAGCCUGACGGAGCAAUGCCGCGUGAAGGAUGAAGGCCUAUGGGUUGUAAACUUCUUUUCUCAGAAAAGAAUUAUGACGGUAUCUGAGGAAUAAGCAUCGGCUAACUCUGUGCCAGCAGCCGCGGUAAGACAGAGGAUGCAAGCAUUAUCCGGAAUGAUUGGGCGUAAAGCGUCUGUAGGUUGUUUAAAAAGUAUUCUGUCAAAGAUUAGGGCUUAACCCUAGAUAGGCAGAAUAAACUUUUAAGCUAGAGUUUGGUAGAGGCAGAGGGAAUUCCCGGUGGAGCGGUGAAAUGCGUAGAUAUCGGGAGGAACACCAAAGGCGAAGGCACUCUGCUGGGCCAAUACUAACACUGAGAGACGAAAGCGAGGGGAGCAAAUGGGAUUAGAUACCCUAGUAGUCC